UCAAUCUCUCGAUUCUUGUCUCUCCAUUCUCUUCCAUCAUGUCUGAAAUUCGAAGAUUUCUGAGAUCUCAAUCCCAAAUCAAGGCAACCUAUUUAUUUUUCGCCUUAGGGUAUUGAGGUUUACAUAUAGAAGUUGUUUUAGGGUUCACUCUCUCUUCUCUAAUCUCCAAAAACUCUCAAGACCAGCAGCACAAAGAAGAAGAAAAACCCUAAACUUCUCAUUUCCUUGGUUUUUGAUUUGAGAGAUCGUGAAGAGGAACAAUGCUUUCCUCAUCAAAGAGUUUGAAAAUGGAAAUCAGAUGGUUCAGUUCAGUAAAGAACCUAACGAUCUCUACAACGUCAACUCCUUCAAACAGUCUGGGUUAACAAAUGCAAAAACUGUUUCAGUCAAGCUGGAAAAGAUUAAGGUGUUGUUCUUGCUACUACGACUAAGACUAACAAGCAAAAGAACCCUUCAAGUUUGGUGCAGAAAACUGUCAUGAAGAAGGAAUUCAGUAUAAUAGCUAAGGCUGUUGCCAACCAGUUGAUGGCAAAGUUUCGCAAGGGAAAUCAACAGUUACAAUUUAGCAUUUGACUGGUGAAGCCAAACCUGGGGAGAUGAAAGUUGGGGAUAGGAUCCCUGCUGGUGCAAGUAAUUUGGAUGUAUGAUGAUAGUGAAGGCGACGAAAACAUGGGAUGAGUCAACAUUACACAGGAUUGUCCAGUAGAUGAAUGGAGAAGUAUACACAUGGGGCUUAAGUAGUUUCUAUGUUUUGGAUAUCAUUUUGGAGGAUGUUGGAUAUCAUUUUGGAGGAUGCUGGAGUCUAAAUCCUUUUACAGGAAUCAUCCAACUAUAUUGAAUCCACACCAGCAUAUUUCUGAUACUUAAUUCACGAUCGGUCAAAGUCGGAACUGCAACUUAUGGCUAAGCAGAGCAACAAGAUAUUUGCUGAGACUUCUGCAUCCAAAACUCCUGCUGACAAGAAGGCUAAAUUGAGAGGUAGAAGAGAACGGAGAAGAACAUGAAGAGCAGGGAACCCAGGAAGAAGAGGUUGUUGAGGUCGAAGCUGAUUCCACAGAUAUGAGCAAUAAGUGCCACUUAAGAAGCUAUACUUGUUUGAGCAUGUAGGUAAUGAAUGAUGUUGAGCUUGUCUCCAGGUCUUGUGCCUUUAAGAUUGUAUACUACUGUUAUUACACUUAA